rnacentral:misc_RNA from 1 species
AACUGAUACUACCUGCGGGAACCUGCGGAAGGAUCAUUAUAGAGUUUUUAACUCCCAAACCCAUGUGAACUUACCUUUGUUGCCUCGGCGGAGCCUACCCGGUACCUACCCUGUAGCGCCCCGCCGGUGGACUUCUAAACUAUUGUUAUUUUAAUGAUAUCUGAGAGUCUUAUUUUAAUAAGUCAAAACUUUUAACAACGGAUCUCU